rnacentral:rRNA from 1 species
ACAUCCAGCGAACUUGGCAGAGAUGGCCUUUGGUGGCCUUCGGGGAACGCUGAGACAGGUGCUGCAUGGCUGUCGUCAGCUCGUGUUGUGAAAUGUUGGGUUAAGUCCCGNAACGAGCGCAACCCUUUAUCCUUUGUUGCCAGCGAUUCGGUCGGGAACUCAAAGGAGACUGCCGGUGAUAAACCGGAGGAAGGUGGGGAUGACGUCAAGUCAUCAUGGCCCUUACGAGUAGGGCUACACACGUGCUACAAUGGCGCAUACAAAGAGAAGCGACCUCGCGAGAGCAAGCGGACCUCAUAAAGUGCGUCGUAGUCCGGAUCGGAGUCUGCAACUCGACUCCGUGAAGUCGGAAUCGCUAGUAAUCGUGGAUCAGAAUGCCACGGUGAAUACGUUCCCGGGCCUUGUACACACCGCCCGUCACACCAUGGGAGUGGGUUGCAAAAGAAGUAGGUAGCUUAACCUUCGGGAGGGCGCUUACCACUUUGUGAUUCAUGACUGGGGUGAAGUCGUAACAAGGUAAGCGUAGCGAG